rnacentral:rRNA from 1 species
CCUACGGGUGGCAGCAGUGAGGAAUAUUGGUCAAUGGUCGGGAGACUGAACCAGCCAAGUCGCGUGAAGGAUGACGGCCCUACGGGUUGUAAACUUCUUUUGUCAGGGAGCAAUUGAGUCCACGUGUGGGCUUAGCGAGAGUACCUGAAGAAAAAGCAUCGGCUAACUCCGUGCCAGCAGCCGCGGUAAUACGGAGGAUGCGAGCGUUAUCCGGAUUUAUUGGGUUUAAAGGGUGCGUAGGCGGAAGUUCAAGUCAGCGGUAAAAAUUCGGGGCUCAACCCCGUCGUGCCGUUGAAACUGGUGUGCUUGAGUGGGCGAGAAGUAUGCGGAAUGCGUGGUGUAGCGGUGAAAUGCAUAGAUAUCACGCAGAACCCCGAUUGCGAAGGCAGCAUACCGGCGCCCAACUGACGCUGAAGCACGAAAGCGUGGGUAUCGAACAGGAUUAGAUACCCUUGUAGUC